UGCUAGUCGUCUGUCUUCCCCCCUU
rnacentral:piRNA from 1 species